GACGGAUGGGGCUAGCGUUGUUCGGAAUUACUGGGCGUAAAGGGCGCGUAGGCGGCCAAUUAAGUUAGACGUGAAAGCCCUGGGCUUAACCUAGGAACUGCGUUUAAUACUGGUUGGCUAGAGUAUGGUAGAGGAAAGCGGAAUUCCUAGUGUAGAGGUGAAAUUCGUAGAUAUUAGGAAGAACACCAGUGGCGAAGGCGGCUCACUGGCCCGGUACUGACGCUGAGGUGCGAAAGCGUGGGGAGCAAACAGG
rnacentral:rRNA from 1 species